rnacentral:lncRNA from 1 species
UAUUACCCCUGUUGUCACAAAUUACACCAACAACUAGAAUGGCACGCCCAAAAAACAUACCAGGAUUCAAUUAGCCAACAAACCUGUAAUGCACAGAUAUGCUUAGAACAGACAUGAUGUUGCCAACCAUUCAAAUGACUGGAAGCACAUGGCAAAACAAACUCUUGUACGAGUUCAACAAAGAAUUCAAGAUACAAUAUAUUAAAGGUUCCAGAACCAAAACAUUAUCUAGGGCAAAACAUCAUCCAAGGUAAUCAUCUAAAUAAGAACACUCCCUUAAGAUUCUGGAAAUGGACCAACACAGUAGUAGCAAAGCUAUGAGGAAUCUUUGUGAAGCAGCUUAUCGCUUCUUGGAGACACCAACAGUCUUUCCUCUCCUGCCGGUAGUCUUGGUGUGCUGACCGCGGACACGCACACCCCAGUAGUGACGCAGACCACGAUGGUUCCUGGAAAAGAGCAGGGUUUCAAGCAUAAGUGGUCGCUCACAAUCUAUGAGCUAGGACAAUGCUACCGCACAGUGAAGUUUUAAGGAAUCAGCCAUCAGGCAAAAGCAUACAGAACAGCUGGGUCACAUACAAGGUACACUAGAAGGGUACACAUGAAUACUUUGACAGCCAUCAAUACCAGAUUGCAAGACAUAACAAUUAUGAAUCUAAGCAAGUAAGGGCAUAGGGCAGAAUAUAAAAUCUAGAUACAAGUAAUAGACUGAAUUGAACUGUUAUAACCUAGAGCUGGCAGAAGUUCCAGGUAAUAACCAUUCAUACAAGCUAACAUUCUGUAUUUCUGUAGAAAGAAGCAACAACUGGCUAUAUAAAAAAAGCUAGUCCAAAUUUGUAUGCGCACAGGCACGGGAAAGGCACGUCAGACACCAACUGUCCUCCUCAUAGUGCCAGCAACGCAAUCACAAACUAAAAUAAAUAAAUAAAAAAUAGCACAGAAGCACAUGUUCUCUCAGAAAAAUGCCUCAAUUGUCCACAUGGUUUAAUAGAAUGGAUUAUGUCAGACUCAUCAUCUGUUUUCAUCAUCACAGAGUUCUAAGAACUACAAAUUACAAAGGCAGGUGUUAAAAAAAGUGUUUUCAACAGAGCAACAGUCCUAACAUGUUCUCUCCGACAAAUGCCUCAUUUUGUCCCCAUGGUUUAAUGGAAUGGAUUGGAUCGGACAUCUAAUCAGCGAGAACAAAAGAACCAAAUGAUUGAUGUAAAUGGGGGUAUAGUAACAGG